rnacentral:rRNA from 1 species
UACGUAGGGUGCGAGCGUUAAUCGGAAUUACUGGGCGUAAAGCGCGCGUAGGCGGUUUUGUAAGUCGGGUGUGAAAUCCCCAAGCUUAACUUGGGAACUGCAUUCGAGACUGCAUAGCUAGAGUAUGGGAGAGGGAAGUGGAAUUUCAGGUGUAGCGGUGAAAUGCGUAGAUAUCUGAAGGAACAUCAGUGGCGAAAGCGGCCCUCUGGCUCGACCCUGACGCUGAGGCGCGAAAGCGUGGGGAGCAAACAGG